rnacentral:rRNA from 1 species
UACGGAGGGUGCAAGCGUUAUUCGGAAUUAUUGGGCGUAAAGCGUGCGCAGGCGGCUUUGCAAGUCAGAUGUGAAAUCCCCGGGCUUAACCUGGGAACUGCAUUUGUGACUGCAUGGCUGGAGUGCGGCAGAGGGGGAUGGAAUUCCGCGUGUAGCAGUGAAAUGCGUAGAUAUGCGGAGGAACACCGAUGGCGAAGGCAAUCCCCUGGGCCUGCACUGACGCUCAUGCACGAAAGCGUGGGGAGCAAACAGG